rnacentral:rRNA from 1 species
AACGUAGGACGCAAGCGUUAUCCGGAGUUACUGGGCGUAAAGCGCGGGCAGGCGGUCUUGCCAGUCUGAUGUGAAAUCUCUCAGCUCAACUGGGAGCAGCCAUUGGAAACUACAAGACUGGAGUCUGGCAGAGGUAGGCGGAAUUCCGGGUGGAGUGGUGAAAUGCGUAGAGAUCCGGAGGAACACCAGAGGCGAAGGCGGCCUACUGGGCCAGUACUGACGCUGAGCCGCGAAAGCCAGGGGAGCGAACGGG